rnacentral:lncRNA from 1 species
ACACACACAUCUCUGCCGGAAGUGAUGUCACGGCAUGGGCGCCCGCCCACCGGAGGAGCGACUGGAGUUGAUCGGCUGGGCGCUCAGAACCUGGACAACUACCCUCAAUUGGUAACAUAUUUUGGUGAGCCAGCCAGAAGGAUCAAGUCUGUGAUACCUGAAGCCUCAGACCUGGAACCUGAAGUUUCCUUCAGCCACUACACCUGUGAACCUGUGGAAGACCUGAAGUGCCUGUUUAGAAGACAGCCAAAAGAUAAAGACCAUUGAGCUUCAUAUGAUCAUGCAACAACAUUGCCAGCCAGUUCCAAAUGAAGAUAGCACCCCCAGCGAUCAAUAAACUACCCUGCCUCCACUGGAUAGAGCAGGGAAAAAUUUCCAUGAUCAGCAAUAGGUAGGGAUUGCACCCCAAGUUAGCAUGAAGCAGCUACAGAAGAAAGACCAUCAAUCCCUCUGCUUCCCAUAAAGAUUUAUGGGAAUCACAUCUCUCAGGGGGAAUAUGAGGCAGGAAAAUAGGGUCUGGAAGCAGGGAACCUAAGGUUUAUUCAUGCUGACUGGAUAUCAGAGGCUACUCUCUUUACGACCUCUCCUUCUCUGUGGCAGUUGAAAAAUGAGACCAAUAUCCCUGAUGAACAUCAAUGCAAAAAUCCUCAAUAAAAUAUUGGCAAACAGAAUCCAGCAGCACAU